AAAUUGAAGAGUUUGAUCAUGGCUCAGAUUGAACGCUGGCGGCAGGCCUAACACAUGCAAGUCGAACGGUAGCACAGAGAGCUUGCUCUCGGGUGACGAGUGGCGGACGGGUGAGUAAUGUCUGGGAAACUGCCCGAUGGAGGGGGAUAACUACUGGAAACGGUAGCUAAUACCGCAUAACGUCGCAAGACCAAAGUGGGGGACCUUCGGGCCUCACACCAUCGGAUGUGCCCAGAUGGGAUUAGCUAGUAGGUGGGGUAACGGCUCACCUAGGCGACGAUCCCUAGCUGGUCUGAGAGGAUGACCAGCCACACUGGAACUGAGACACGGUCCAGACUCCUACGGGAGGCAGCAGUGGGGAAUAUUGCACAAUGGGCGCAAGCCUGAUGCAGCCA
rnacentral:rRNA from 1 species